CCUACGGGAGGCAGCAGUGAGGAAUAUUGGUCAAUGGACGCAAGUCUGAACCAGCCAUGCCGCGUGCAGGAAGACGGCUCUAUGAGUUGUAAACUGCUUUUGUACGAGGGUAAACGCAGAUACGUGUAUCUGUCUGAAAGUAUCGUACGAAUAAGGAUCGGCUAACUCCUUGCCAGCAGCCGCGGUAAUACGGAGGAUUCAAGCGUUAUCCGGAUUUAUUGGGUUUAAGGGGUGCGUAGGCGGUCGGAUAAGUUAGAGGUGAAAUCCCGAGGCUCAACUUCGGAAUUGCCUCUGAUACUGUUCGGCGAGAGAGUAGUUGCGGUAGGCGGAAUGUAUGGUGUAGCGGUGAAAUGCUUAGAGAUCAUACAGAACACCGAUUGCGAAGGCAGCUUACCAAGCUACUUCUGACGUUGAGGCACGAAAGCGUGGGGAGCAAACAGGAUUAGAUACCCGGGUAGUC
rnacentral:rRNA from 1 species